GACGAACGCUGGCGGCGUGCUUAACACAUGCAAGUCGAACGAAAAGAGGGAAAGAGCUUGCUCUUUCCGGAAUUGAGUGGCAAACGGGUGAGUAACACGUAAACAACCUGCCUUCAGGAUGGGGACAACAGACGGAAACGACUGCUAAUACCGAAUAAGUUCCAAGGGCCGCAUGGCCCAUGGAAGAAAAGGUGGCCUCUACCUGUAAGCUAUCGCCUGAAGAGGGGUUUGCGUCUGAUUAGCUGGUUGGAGGGGUAACGGCCCACCAAGGCGACGAUCAGUAGCCGGUCUGAGAGGAUGAACGGCCACACUGGAACUGAGACACGGUCCAGACUCCUACGGGAGGCAGCAGUGGGGAAUCUUCCGCAAUGGGCGAAAGCCUGACGGAGCAACGCCGCGUGAGUGAUGACAGCCUUCGGGUUGUAAAACUCUGUGAUCCGGGACGAAAAGGCAGAGUGCGAAGAACAAACUGCAUUGACGGUACCGGAAAAGCAAGCCACGGCUAACUACGUG
rnacentral:rRNA from 1 species